CAUUCGAAAGGAUGGGUAAUACUGCAUAAUCCCGCAAGGGGAAAGCCUUAACUGGGCACUGAAAGAUGAGCCGGCGGCCUAUCAGCUAGUUGGUGGGGUAAUGGCCCACCAAGGCUAUGACGGGUAGGGGGUGUGAGAGCACGGCCCCCCAGAAUAGGACUGAGACACGGCCUAUACACCUACGGGUGGCAGCAACUGGGAAUCGUACGCAAUGGACGCAAGUCUGACGUCGCGACGCCGCGUGGAGGAUGACAGCCCUCGGGUUGUAAACUCCUUUUGACCGAGCAGCAAUGCCGGUAGAAUAAGCACCUGCUAACUACGUGCCAGAAGCCUCGGUAAUGCGUAGGGUGCAAGCGUUGUCCGGAUUUACUGGGCGUAAAGAGUCUGUAGGCGGUAGGGAACGUCUUGUGUGAAAGGCUCCGGCUUAACCGGAGUUGGUCACAAGAUACGGCCUUACUCGAGUUUUUUCGGGGGUACUGGAACUGUUGGAGUAGGGGUGAAAUCCGUUGAUACCAACAGGAACACCGACGGCGAAGGCGGGUACCUAGAAAAAUACUGACGCUGAGAGACGACAGCUAGGGGAGCGAAAGGGAUUAGAGACCCCUGUAGUCCUAGCCGUAAACUAUGCUCGCUAGGGAUAGGGCUCGCAGAGGAUAGAAGAUUGGUGAUUAGUUAAAUAGUUGAUUAGGAAACUAAUAAACUAAUAUCUAAUUUGCUAAUUAACUUGUAUCUUUUGUGAGCUCUGUUCCGCAAGCUAACGCAUUAAGCGAGCCGCCUGGGGAGUACGGUCGCAAGACUAAAACUCAAAGGAAUUGACGGGAGAGCGCACAACCAGUGGAGCAUGUGGUUUAAUUCGAUACGAACCGAAGGACCUCACCCAGGCUUGACAUCCAACUGCAAGCCCGAAGAAACUCGGGCCCCUUUCGAAGGUGUUGGACAGGUGUUGCAUGGCUGUCGUCAGCUCGUGCCGUAGGGUGUCCUCUUAAGUGAGGUAACGAGCGCAACCCCUGCUGUAUGUUAAAUAUUCAUACGGGACUGCCCCGCCUAUGGCGGGGAGGAAGGAGGGGACGACGUCAAGUCAGCAUGGCCCUUAUGCCUGGGGCCACACACAUGCUACAAUGACGCUUAACAAUGGGUUGCCAACCAGCAAUGGGGAGCUAAUCCCAUCAAACAGCGUCUCAGGGGGGAUUGUAGUCUGAAACCCGACUACAUGAACGCGGAAUUGGUAGUAAUCGCGGGUCAGCUAUACCGCGGUGAAUACGUUCUCGCUCUUUGUACACACCGCCGAUUUAUUUCGCGCGUGGCAGUAUAUAUCGCUAGUAGGUUAAAAUCCUACCUUCUAA
rnacentral:rRNA from 1 species